rnacentral:rRNA from 1 species
UACGUAGGGUGCAAGCGUUGUCCGGAAUUAUUGGGCGUAAAGAGCUCGUAGGCGGUUUGUCGCGUCUGCUGUGAAAACCCGAGGCUCAACCUCGGGCCUGCAGUGGGUACGGGCAGACUAGAGUGCGGUAGGGGAGAUUGGAAUUCCUGGUGUAGCGGUGGAAUGCGUAGAUAUCCGGAGGAACACCAGUGGCGAAGGCGACUUCCUGGCCUGUUCUUGACGCUGAGGCGCGGAAGCUGGGGGAGCAAACGGG